GGAAGACACGAGUCGGCGCGGUCUACACCUCUCUCUUCCAUUGCCAAGAGUUUGACCCGCUUGGUUCCGAUGCGGCCCCUGGCCGCUCUGCCCCCCCCUCCCUGCCCCCGGACCCGCCUGCUCCCAGCGCUAAGUUGGAGUCUGCCCUGAGGACAGGGCCAAGGCCUUUGUAACUCCUGUGGGGCCUCACCCUCUGUACAUCCCUGUAGGCCAGCCACCUAGGAGGAAGAAGAAAAGACCUUUCCAUCCUGGGAUCCUUCUGCUUCCCCUCCUCAGCCCUCAGAAGACCAAGACUUGGCUCAAGCAGGGAGCUUGGAGUCAGAGGGAAUGGCCCCUGGGAGCUACAGACCCUCAGCCCAGCUUUUCCUUGUAGCAACUGAAGGACCAGAAAACCCCUUCCCACUGAGUCUUGUCUGGACAGGCCUGGAGCAGGAUCCUGAAGGCUUCCUCAGCACUUGUCCUUUGCAGUAUUGUCAUCAGAGCAGAAAUUGGCCUCCUGGCACUGCCCGUGUCCUGCUUCAGGUCACACAAGCCUUCCCAGGUCUCUCUGAAUCCCUCUCCUUUACCAGUUCUUAGGUCAACCUACAAGCAAUUAGAAAAGUUCUACUUUGUGUGAACUGAUCCAGACAUUCUGGAGAACAGUUUGGAACCAUGCCCAAAGGGCUAUGGG